rnacentral:lncRNA from 1 species
AUAAAAUAAUGCAACAGACCAUAUUCUAAACUAAUUUAAUAUUAUUGAUGCUAAAUCACAUUUUAGUAUCACUGACAAUAAUGAUAAUGGAUGUUGUUGCUUGUGUAAAGUCUAAAGAGCUUGCAGCUACUGCCGCUAGUUAUAAUUGUAAUACAAAUUAACGGUGGAUAGUGCACUAAAACUAUGACGAACCAAAGGUUUUCUUUACAUCAAAGUGUU